CUCAGGAUGGCCGAGCGAUCUAAGGCGCCAGACUCAAGCUCACAGCUUGCCGGGUAUCCCGGUUGAACAGAAUUCUGGUCUUCGAUAGAAGGCGUGGGUUCAAAUCCCACUUCUGACA
rnacentral:tRNA from 1 species